rnacentral:rRNA from 2 species
CGGACGGGUGAGUAACGCGUGGGUAACCUGCCUCAUACAGGGGGAUAACGAUUGGAAACGAUUGCUAAUACCGCAUAAGCGCACAGUACCACAUGGUACAGUGUGAAAAACUCCGGUGGUAUGAGAUGGACCCGCGUCUGAUUAGCUAGUUGGUGAGGUAACGGCCCACCAAGGCAACGAUCAGUAGCCGACCUGAGAGGGUGACCGGCCACAUUGGGACUGAGACACGGCCCAG